AGACAUUCCAGAGGGUAAGGAAUGUCUCCACAGCGGUUCUCCUGACAAGAUAUGUUGCAGGAAACCCUUCCGGGCAGAGGAGAAGAUACCAGAGGGAAAUCUGGGCUGCACAGAGGCAUGGAGAAGGGGCGAUGGUAACUCUGGGGAAUUAUAAGCUGCUUUUCUUAUUAUCUAAAUCUCUUUCAAAGAAAAUUGACUGGAAAUGCAGGCAACUGCCACGCAUUAUGCGGGUGGAUAAUCUGAGGCACGGGGGCUGAGGGGCAGGUCUGCACGCCACGUGUGGACUGGAAUUGUCCCCUGCAGGGAGCCUGUGAUCAGUUAAGGGUGUCCACUAGAAACUGCAGGAAACGGGGCUGUGGCUCAUCCAUGUACAAAGAAGAUAAAAUGCAAUAACAAAAAAUACCAGAUUCAUCCAAAAGAAGGUAGAAAAAGAGGUCAAAGACCAGAUGGGACACACAGGCAAGAGGGACAGCAGGGAUUCAGUCACACGGAUCCACAGAAUCAUCACAUCAAACCCGGACUGUGUGAGUGUCCAGUUAUGAGACAGAUGUCAGGCGGAACAGAGCGAGGCCCACAUAUAUGCUGUCACAACAAAUGCUCUUUGUAAAUAUAAAGUCUUCUUCUAUAAAAGUCAGUUCAAAAUGGACCACAGGGAGGAACGGCAAAUCAAAAACUAUAAAACUAUAAAGAAGGAAACAGGAGAAAAAUCUCUGUGGCCUUAGAUGAGACCCACACAUGUCACAUUAACUCCCAAAGCAGGAUAAGCAUGAGCCAUAAGAGAAACCGCGCUUACGUAGACUUUACUGAAAUUGGAAACAUUUGCUCUCCAAAAAACAUCCUUAUGAGAAUGAAAAGACAAGCCACAGAUUAGGAGAACAUGGCCAAUGGUGGUGGGUACAUGAUAUAAAAUUAACAAACCAAACUGGUUUAUUUAAAAGACUGAUAUAGGCCAGGUGUGGUAGCACACACCUGGAAUCCCAGUGGCUCAGGAGGCUGAGGCAGGAGGAUCGUGAAUUCAAAUCCAGCUUCAGCAAUUUAUCAAGGCCCUGAGCAACUCAGUGAGACCCUGUCUCUAAAUAAAAUACAAAACAGGGUUGGGGAUGGGGCUCAGUAGUCCAGGGCCCCUGAGUUCAAUCCCCAGUACCCCAAAAAAAC
rnacentral:lncRNA from 1 species